GGAAAGAACUAAGCUACACAGGGCUCCAGCCCCCCAGGACUGGAGUUUCACACCCCUGCUCUAAAACAUAUAUUUUUCAGUUUUGGGGCGAACAGACUAAACAGUGUGCAGCGAUCUCUCUGUAAAUGAGGGCAGCCAACCAGUGACUUAGAGGUUCCACAUUCUUGGCGAAGUCCAACCGCUGAAUCGAGGCGCUCGGCUCAGAGCUGAGCUCUGGGACACCUGGCGAACUUCACAAGUGGAGGGAGAUUAACCCAAGCCGAGAUGCAUAUCUUCAUUCCCGAUACCUCGAACCAGCAGAGCCAAUUAAUCCCAUUAACAACAUAAACGAUCCAGAAAACCUACAGCAGCGAGUCAUCUGUGACUGAACGUGUAACACAAUUUAAAUUCUAUUUACGUUUACGUCAUGCCGCUCCCGACAUGUCUGCCCCAAAGUUCUUAGCAAGAAUUGAUAAAAAAAACAGCAUCACAGAUGUUAAUUACAGUAGUUUAGUCAUGUUGUGCAAAUAUACAGUAUUAAAAAGUGGUGAAAAAAGCCAGUAGACAGUAGCUGCUAAACUCCUCAGGUAUGAUGACAUUACACAGGUGUUUAAGUGUUUCUGGGACCAGUGUUAGGGGUGCUGCAGUGGUGUUCAGGUCAGCCCUGGGUUUGAACAGCCAGUGAUAAUCAACAGGUCCCCCCUGUGCGUCAAUAUUCACUGUGAGUCAAGUUGAAAGACUGUGCAGGUCUGGGGAGGCACAGCGUUUGUCAGGAUUAAGGACAGGAAAGAGAUGUAGGAGGUCUGUACUGAUUUUGAGGUUGGACAAAUGCUGCAACAUCUGUUUACAUGCAGUGACGUUUCAUUUGCCAUUUGCACAAGUGCAGACAGAUUGUAAUGUUCUGUUCAUAUACCCCGUCUUGCCCUCCUUUGAGGCAGACACAUAUACUGUAUGAAGGUGAGAGCAAGGUUUAGGUGAGAUGGACAGGGUCUUGCUCAAGAGCUAAACGAAGAGGUCAGCGGCCAAACUGGCAACCUACUGAUCACAGACAGAGAGGCAAAAUCCACUGAGUAACACACCACGCCAUUAUUCAGUAAUGAAUAGAUUAAGGUUUAAGCUUAAGAUUAAAGCAACAAAAGGAAAAUAAUAAGCCUUCGGUCUUAAAUACUGAGGCCGACGCCGCCUCCCUUACACUGGACAGCGGGCUAUUCCAUAACCUAGAAACCACACGGCUGAAAACUUGCCGCUGUCAAGUUUUUUAUUAGUAGCGAUUCGAGGAAUUACAAGCAUACAUGCCUUCUGCACUCUAAAAGUGUAUUCUGGAAGGAGCACAUUAAUCACCUCUGAGGAGCACAGAAAUGACCUUUUGGUGACUUGUAAGUGGGGUAAAGAAUUCCGAAGGCCAUCUUAAACGUAAUGGGAAGAGCAAUCCCCGUUUGACGUUUAUUUCACACCAGCGAGACAUCCGCACGCCUUUCAAGUGCUGUCACAAAGGCCCCCUUCUAUAUUAACAGUCCGCAGUUACAUUUUUAUGGCCGCUGAGAAUUAGCUAGUGGUUUGAAUAUUACGGCGACAGCUGUGAACUCCGUAAAAGAGUGGGGAAAAAUCAUCUGAAGGCGUCUUGUUUGAUCUUUCUCACAGUGUUACCACAUGCCAUCGCAGAGAGGCGAUUAAUGUAAGUUGACCAUACAAAUGAUGCCGUGAUGGUUGGUGAAACAAAAUAACUAUUUUGUAUUCAAUUCACGAGUCAAGGUCUUUAUGUGAUGUUUCCACAGGUGUCUCUAGAGAGACAAAUAGAGCUACAGACUAACAGCUCGACUUGUAUGUUGUCUCUGUGUUUAUAUGUGUUUCAUCCAACAGUUCAAAGGCAUGAUGUUUGUUUGAAUGAUUG